rnacentral:rRNA from 1 species
GACGAACGCUGGCGGCGUGCUUAACACAUGCAAGUCGAACGGAGUGGCGAGCGGGUGAGUAACACGUGGGUGAGCUGCCCUGCAGUUCGGGAUAAGCGUGGGAAACUGGGUCUAAUACCGGCUAGAGUGGGUGGGGCGCGGGGCUAAUCGGCUUGUUGGUCGGGUAAUGGCCUACCAAGGGGGCGACGGGUAGCCGGCCUGAGAGGGUGGACGGCCACAUGGGGCCUAAGAAAGGGCCCAGUGGCCUACGUGAGGCAGCAGGGGGGAGUAUGGCCCAGUCGGGGGAAGUGUGAUGAAGCGGCGCCGGGAUGGGAAUGACGUCCUUCGGGGUGUAAACUCCUUUAACCUUCGACGCGGUAGAUGGAGAAGAAGCACCGGCUAACUACGUGCCAGCAGCCGCGGUAAUAC